rnacentral:lncRNA from 1 species
AUGAAGGGGUGAGUUUUAUGAAGGGCCGAAAGUGAGUGGGUAUAUCAUUGGUUAUGCAGAUAAAAUUCCUAAAUUUCCUGUUUAUCUAUCUGUGGUCAUUUUCAGAAUUUCCUCCCCUAAGCCCGGUACACAUCAUUCUACUCACAAUAGAUGGCAAAUAUUUCUAGGAUAUAUGUGUCUUUUUCAUCUCCACACAGACUCUCAAAAUCCUGAGAACUUGCAUACCAAAAUCUGCAAAACUUAAAGCUUGUAAAUAGUUUCUGAAAAAUGGAAAUUCAGCUGCUCAGAAUUCUUCUGCUCAAAUUCUUCUGCUCAAAUAGUCUCCUGCAGGAGGCUAACUCCACCCUCUUAGUAAUAAAAUAAAUAUUAGAUCUCAUUUUGAGAUGAAGUCCGGUAAUUUACUGGGCCUAUUUUUCUUACAAGUUUUUGGGUGGAUUUUUUUAAUUUGAAUGUCAUUGAGAACCAGUGAUUCUGUGGACAGGGAAACAUGAAUUUGGACCAAUCAAUGAGCAAAAACCUCUGAAAGACUGCAAGAAUUUUUAAAUAUUCUACUGCAUCAGUCGUUAGAAAAACUCUGAAUGUGAGUGUUGCUGCUGUAUUUUAUUGUUCUGCUUGGGAAGGAUGAGAGACCUGGUGGAGUGAGAACUUCCACAGUGAGUCCCCUGUGCUUGUCACUUAGAUGUCCCAUUUCAUCCCUUUCUGCAGGACCUUAAUCAUUAAUUUUUCCCCACCCAUCUUGAUCAACACAGCUGCCCAUGAAAUGGUCACUAACAACCAAAACCUUUCCUUCCUUUUUCUAUGCAUCAUUUUUGACCAGCUUUUUUUGAAACUAUCUUAACCUUAGCUGACCCUUCUUGCUAACCUUCUAUGAAAACCCUGCCCCUUUCAUUACAAAUUAGAACACUUCUUUGAGUCCUCCCUUAUGGGGAAUUUUUGAAUAAUUUCUAUUAACAGUGCUCUGGAUCCCCCAGAAAAUUCCAAGAAAUCCUAUGAGCAGAGUGAUAGCUUUAGAUGCUUUUUAAGAUACAGAAAGAAGAUUUCUUCUUUUCCAGUGUAUGUUGUUUUUUUCUAGUUUAUACAAUAUCAAGAUUCCUACUGAUGUAUUUUUGAAAGUAAGAAGCAAGGAAACAUUACUUGAAAAGUUAUUUUUAUGAUAAAUAUUGCCAAAGAACAGACAAUUUUUCUGAUGGUCUGUUCUAUUGAACAGACUUCAUAAUAGAUAGAAGCUUAGUAACACAUAGCAUAAAAAUGUAAGAAAGUUGGAGUUAAAUAUGAUACUAUUAUUUUGGUACCUGUGGUAAAAAUAAUCGACAUUCAAUUUUGGACAUUGUUUAGGAAAUGUGAUUUUACUUUUGGAAGUACUGUAUGUGAGCUACAACUGAGGUAUAUACUUAGAAAUAUGCAAAAAGAAGUUGGGAGUUUAUGUAGGAAUCAGCUUAACUACCUACCUGAUCCUUAAGACUUUAAUUAUAAUUGCUCCAGUUCCUCUGCCACUCUUUGUUGCAAGAUUGCUGAACCCCACUUUUUUUUUGCAAGUUUCUCAGGGGUUUUUACUCUUACAUUCACCUCUGCCACAAACUUCUCACUUUGGUGAAUCAGUUCAGGCCCAGCACUUUUGUCCACAGGCUGUUAUUGUUCCUUAAAUGUUGAACUAGAAAUAGAAAUCAGCUUUUUCCUAAACUUACACGAAAUGCCAUUCACACAAGACAAAUACAGGAAUGGUAAGAAAAAUAAAAGUGUAUUACUAUGUAAACAGUUUAAAAUUAAAUAAUUUUUUAAAUGUUGAAAAUAAUUCUUUUUUUUUUCUGACAUGUACACUAUCCUUUCUCUCCUCACACAUUUCCAUUCCAUUUUUUUUUCUCAUCUGAAAUACCAUCCUCUCAGGAGAAAAACACAAGAAAAGUAAUAGAAAAAUGUAAUCUCAGGUUUUUGUACCAAAGCAAUUCAGCUUUUUUCCCUAACCUCACAGGCAGAUCAGGGCUUAUAGUUUCCAAGAAAAUAUUGAAAUAUUGAUGAACUUUUUAGAUAAAAAUUCACUUUUUGCACCAGCCUGGGGAUAUAGACAGAGCAGGGUAUGGCUCCAUUAAAUAGAGAACAGAAGAUCAUGAAUGAGUCAGGGAUAAAGUUUGGGAUCAGGAAUCAUCUAUGAAAUUAUAUUGGAGAAGCCAAUUAGAGAGAAGUGAAGACAGAAGCCUACAAGAACAUAUAAAAGGAAAAUAGGAAAGUUUCAGUGUGCACCUGCAUUUAAAGUGAAAAGGAAUGAAUGAAAGCCUAGGAGAUUCUUGAAAAAUAAUUAUGGUAGUUGUAUGGAUUAAAUUUAAUUAUUUUAAUUUACUGAUAGGAAAAGUGAGAUAUACACAUGAAAGAUUUGCUGCAGAACUGGCAUGCUUGAGGAAAUAUUCGUUGUCAGGUGCCUCUGACUUAAAGAUUCCAUCAUUUUUAGGACAUUAGGAUAUUCCUAAUGAAUUCAUUCUCCUCUGAAGAGUCAGAAUGGAGACUCAGUGAGAAAGUCAUUUUACUUUGGUGGUUUCCAAUGUAAAGGAAACAACAAAAGCUCUAAAAGAUUCAGCUGUGGGUAAAGCAAACAUUUUAAAUCUAGAAUACUGAGUUAGAUGGAAUUUAAUCACAUUUAUUUAGGAAAACCAAAGACUCCUGAAAGGACAAAUGUGUGUUUUCCCAGCCUCCCUGGAAAGUAAUUUUAAAAGUUCUGUGGGUUAUAUGCAAAUUUUCUUAAUUUAUCAAUGGGAAAGUGCGGUCAUAAGCAAAUGACCUCAGCUCAGCCAAUCUUGAGCAUCAAUUUGAGAACCUAAGAUUCAAGGAGGCAAGACCAGCAAAGGCCCCUUCAGAUAUUGGCAGUUCAGAGUGAGUUCAGAUACUUCAGAGCCAGAGAUGUACAAGCUGGAGAAUUUAAUGUUGAAAAAUGGUACUGAUAUUGUCUUUGCUAGACAGUUAUGUGGGGUGAUUUUAGACUCUGAUUCUGGCUGUCUAGCCUUUCAUUGCCUCUUCUGGUUUUCUGAGCUAGUACUUUAAAGCCUCUAGCUGAUUCUACAAGCUAACAUAAUUAUCUUUCAAGAAAUUCCUUUUCUGUCCAAAUCCUCCAGAGUGAGUUUCUGUUGCUUUCAACAAAAAACCUUGACAAGUAUUAGUAGAUAAGGCAAAGUUUGGGACCAUAGCUUGAUUUGUCAUUUUUGGAAUGAUAUUUUACUUGGGGAGAGAUGGAUGUUCUCUAUCUUUUCAAAAAUUGUUUUUGCUAUGAACUGUAUUCAUAUGUGAGUUGUAAUGUUAAAGAAGAAAAAAAGAUUUAAAAUUGCUUCCUGUAGCAGAACGUGAGGCAGUAAAAAGUACAAAAUGCUAAGCAGAGAAAACAAGACAAUAGAAAGAAAAGACUUCUCAAAAGAGAAGCUGACAGGAUCCGUGUGAAAAAAAUAUAUAUAUAGUUGGGUUUAAAUCGCAUAUGUGACAAGAAAGAUGUUGUGACAGGGAGAAAAAUGUUUGUUUACUCACAGCUCCUCCAUAUCCCAACUCCAUCAUGUCAGCACAGGCACACGCAUACUCUUCUAUGGAAGGUUCUCCUUGCUGUAUUGUUUUUGCUAGUUUAGUGCAACAUUCUCUUCAGUAAAAAUGGCUUUUCAUAUACUCGAACGCAGUGUAAGAUGGUACGUGUUUGGAUACUUAAAAUUGAAAGAGCUUGAGCUGAUACAAAUAGCUUUUCAUUAAAAAGAAGCGGGGAGAUGGAGAUGGGGAGUACAGAGAAGGGGAGCCCCAGGAAAGCAAGGAAGACAAGGAUUUUCUCAGAGGAAGAUGCUUAGUACUGUUUGAUAUAGCCCUCCCUUCAUUUUCUUGUCCAGGGGAACCUUAAAAUAUUUUCUGGUCAUUGUGGUUUGUGAGCUAUAUUUACAUAGAAGGUGAUGCUAUGAAGCACUGAAACUUGCUCUAGGUUGUGCAAAAGAUGGAGAGCAAGGUAACCAACCAGAGGAGUUAUUUCCAUAUUUAUGUGGCCUUUUCUGUGGUUUGGAGCUGCUAAAGGUACUAAUUGAAAGAGACCUUUAAACUAUGGAUGCUAU